GAAAAUAAGAAAGGGUGCUUCUACGGAGUUGGUUUUUUUUUUUUUUUUUUUUUCUUAAAUAAUUAAGAAAUUCAUUUCUAAUGAUUUAAGAAAAAGAAAAAAAAAACAAACCAAUUCAGUGCAUUUCUUGAGGCUUACCUACACAGUGCCUACAAGCUGCUUACCAUCUGGAGAUCAUGAAACUAGUAAUCCAGCCUCUCCACAACAUCGCCGCCAAACCUUCCUCGCCCCUCGCCCCUCGCCAACGUUGCUGCCGCACCCCUCACCUUCCUUGCCACUCACCGACGUCACCCUUCACCCUCGCCUCCGUUAUCAUCGUCGCUGCUGCCGCCCCUCACCGACAAGUAUGAGAUCUCUCUCUCUUCUCUCGGUCGGGCUGAGGGGGUGGGGAGGGGUUGGGAAAUGGAGAGGGAAAGGAGGAGAAGGGCAGAGACAAGGCGAGUGGACAAAAAAAAAAAAAAAAAGACGUGGUGCACUAGUGAUUUGCCACAUCAGUGUGUAUUCUUUUGUGGGAUUACCUUGUAUCUAUAGUAUUUUUCAAAGAGUUAUAUACAUUAUGGGCUAACAUCCAUAACUGCAAGCCCCAUUAGUUCGCUUA